rnacentral:misc_RNA from 1 species
GAUGAAGAACGUAGCGAAAUGCGAUAAGUAAUGUGAAUUGCAGAAUUCAGUGAAUCAUCGAAUCUUUGAACGCACCUUGCGCUCCUUGGUAUUCCGAGGAGCAUGCCUGUUUGAGUGUCAUUAAUAUAUCAACCGUCUCUUUUUUGAGUUGUUUGGAUGUGGGGGUUUGCUGGCCUCUUAAAUGAUUCAGCUCCCCUGAAAUGCAUUAGCAGAACAACCUGUUCAUUAGCGUGAUAAUUAUCUAUGCUAUUGAAUGUGAGGGCAGUUCAGCUUUCUAACCGUCCUUGGACAAUUCAUCAUUAAUGUGACCUCAAAUCAGGUAGGACUACCCGCUGAACUUAAGCAUAUCAAUAAGCGGAGGA